rnacentral:piRNA from 1 species
UCCUCAGCAUUGGACUCGAGAUGACUCC